rnacentral:lncRNA from 1 species
GGGGACAGCUGUUCCAGUGACAGGAGAGAGCAGGCAAGUUCUUGGAGCCUCCAGGGCUCUCUUGGUGAGCUGUGAUUUAUGGCAGCCCACUUAUCCCCAAAAUGCCUUUCCUUCUAGGGUCCAGGGAGAUGGCUCCUGCCUUCGUGCUGUAGCAGUCAGAGAGGACAACUUGAAGUUUCCCUGAAUUGUUCUUGCCUCAUUGAGUGAGAAGAUGAGACCAAAAGGGAGAACCUAGGUGUACUGAACAUUUUUUUAAAAAUCCCAGAAGGUAAGUAGGUAGACUUUGUUUGCAUGGGCUGUGAUUUGUAGGAGGGUUUCAUUUUCUAGAGC